UCAGGGAAAGCUAGGAGGUUGUACAGUUAUCUCCCGGUGGUGUAAUUACCAACUAUACAACCUACUACCUCAACCUGG
rnacentral:pre_miRNA from 1 species